UACGGGGGGGGCAAGCGUUGUUCGGAAUUACUGGGCGUAAAGGGCGCGUAGGCGGUUCGCUAAGUUGGAUGUGAAACUCUGGGCUCAACCCAGAGCCUGCAUCCAAAACUGGCGGGCUAGAGUUCUGGAGGGGGUAGCGGAAUUCCUGGUGUAGCGGUGAAAUGCGUAGAUAUCAGGAGGAACACCGGUGGCGAAGGCGGCUACCUGGACAGAAACUGACGCUGAGGCGCGAAAGCUAGGGGAGCAAACAGG
rnacentral:rRNA from 1 species